rnacentral:rRNA from 1 species
UACGGGGGGGGCAAGCGUUGUUCGGAAUUACUGGGCGUAAAGGGCGCGUAGGCGGCCUGCUAAGUCGAACGUGAAAUCCCCGGGCUCAACCCGGGAACUGCGUCCGAUACUGGCAGGCUUGAAUCCGGGAGAGGGAUGUGGAAUUCCAGGUGUAGCGGUGAAAUGCGUAGAUAUGCGGAGGAACACCGAUGGCGAAGGCAAUCCCCUGGGCCUGCACUGACGCUCAUGCACGAAAGCGUGGGGAGCAAACAGG